ACAUACUCUGGAACUGUUGUGGUAUAAUGGGCAGACAAUGGAAAUGUUGUUCACCUUCAAUUCUCAGAGGACCUACCACUAUUGUAUUGUCAAUUGUUUUGCUGUUUGGAGACCACAAGGCUUGACUCAGUAAACACCACUAUUUGACCGAGAGGCCGCCACUAAAUGGCUCCACGAAUAAAUGGGUGUGAAGUCUUGGAUGCUUGGUUUGCUCACAGGGAUCAGGCUGUGGAGUACGGAGUUCACAAGAUCUAGGAGAUCAACAACCUCGAGGAUGGGAGGAUAUAGAAGGAGAAAAUGUCUUCAGCCAGCAAUAGGGUGAGAACAGACUUGCCGAACAUGAAGGAAGGGUUGCAGCUGGAGCCUGACAAUAGUGGUGUUCUAAGUUGUGGAUACUGGACACUGCUGUUGGAAUACUAGAGCGACAUGAUGUUGUAAGGGAUCUAGAGAGGAAGCUUCUGGAGUUGCAAUAGGUGAUGCCUUCUUAUUUACUCCUUUUUUGGCACAAGGUCUUCUCUGUAUCAUAUAGUAUGUUACAAAAGCUAUGGCCAUUCAAUGAACAUAGUUCCUCUCAAUAUGCAACUUCAAGUGCAGCGCUACAAGAUUCUACUUCAUAGAGCUGUAUACAUGAAAACAAACAACUCCAGAACAUGUCUUCUCUCCCAAGCUUCAUGGUAGAUACCCAUGUACAAUUCUAAUUGCAGUGACAUGUUACAAAUUUC